UAAAAUAAGCCAGAACUUGUUUAUUGAAAAAGCACUAAAACAAAAUCUUUUGGUAAGAUUGAGCAAGAAAACACAAAUAGAGAAUGGAAAAAUAAAAAUGUUAUAAAUGCAGUUGAAAUUUGAAAAUGUGAGGAUAUUAUGAACAAUUCAUUUGAAAACUGACAAUAAUAGACAAAUUACUACAAGUCUUUUACUCUAAUUGAAGAUAGACAUGCAAUCCCACAGCUCCUAGUUUCAGUAAUUAAAAAUUUUCCCCCAAAGCAUUUUAUAGUAAAUUCCACUAACCUGUUCCAUAUGGUACCAGUUCUUAAUCUAACAGUUAACAGUUCAUUCAAAAUAAUAGCAACAAUGUAUUUGAUUAUAUACAUAUAUAUUUGUGUGUGUGUAUAGUCUUCAUACUUAGGGGUGCUUAUAUAUAAGUGGAAUGACAGCAAUGAUACAUGGGAUAGGAAAGAGAAAUUAGGAUUAUUUUGUUACUAUAAGGUAAACUGCCCAUGAAGUAGUAUAUUAUUAUUUGAAAGAGGGGUUGCAUUAUUUGUAAAUGUAUACUGCAAACACAAGGGCAACCAUAAAAAAAACCACACUAGAAGACAGAGAAUAACAAAAUGCCAAAUUAACACCAUCAAAGGCACAAGAAGAAUGGAAGUCAAAAAUAGGAAUAACGAACAAGGUUAACAAAUAGAAAACAGUAACAUGGUAGAUGUUUAUCCAAAUAUAUAAAUAGUUUGAAUGUCAAGGGUGUAAAUGUACCAAUUAAAAGAUAGAUUAUUCUAUGGGAAAAUUGGGCCAGUUUAAAAAAGAAAAAAAAUAUUGUCAAAGCAGAUCAAAGAACAAAACCCAAUUAUAUGUUGGUUACAAGCAACCCACUUGAAAUGUAGAGACAUACAAAUUAAAGGGAGAAAAAUAUGCCAGGCUAACACCAAAAUGAAGAAAUAGGUAUAUUAUAGAAUAGCAGACUAUACAGCAAGAAUUAUCAGGGAUAAUGAUGUAGUACAAAAUGAUAAAGGGGUCCAUUCUCCAAGAAGACAUAACUAUCCUUAACAUGUAUGCACCCAAGAACAGAGGAUCAGGAUACAUGAGGCAAAAACUGAUAGAACUGCAGGGAAAAUGAUGCAGUUUGGAAGUUUACCCCUCUAACCCUCACAUUGAAUUGUAAUCUCCAGUGUUGGAGGUGGAACCUGGUAGGAGGUGACUGCAUCAUUGGUGCAGAUUUCUCAUGAAUGGUUUAGCCCCAUCCACUUGAUGCUGCUCUUGUGAUGUGCAUGCUCAUGAGGUUUGGCUGUUUACAAGUAUAUGGCUUCUUCCCUCACCGUCUCUUACUCUUGACUCUCACUAUGUGAGACUUCGGGUCCCUUUGCCUUCCACCAUGAUUGUAAGCUUUCUGAGGCCUCACCAGAAGCUGAGCAGAUGCCUGGGACUGUGCUGCUUGUACAGCCUACAGAACCAUAAGCCAAUUAAGUCUCUGUUUAUAUUACUCAGCCUCAGGUAGUUAUAGCAAUAUAAGAAUGGCCUGCCACAGAAAAUUGGUACUGAGGAGCUAUAUAGACAUUUGAAAAACCAGAGUCUCUUACUUCAGACAACCACCCUAGUGCCCCAGCAAGGGUUCUUAACCAGGCUGAAAUGGCUGAAAUGACAGAAGUAGAAUUCAGAAUAUGGAUAGGAACAAAAAUAAUCGAGAUUCAGAAGAGAAGUCAAAACCCAAUUCAAGGAAUCUAAGGAUUACAAUAAAAUGAUACAGGAGCUGAUAGAUAAAAUGGGCAUUAUAAGAAAGAAACAGACUGAUCUGAUAGAGCUGAAAAAGAUGCUACAAGAAUUUCAUAAUGCAAUCAUGAGUAUUACCAGCAGAAUAGACCAAGCUGAGAAAAGAAUCUCAGAGCUCAAAGAAUGACUCACUGAACUAACUCAAACAAAAAGAAUGAACAACACCUCCAAGAAAUAGGGGGUUAUGUAAAGGAAACCAAAGGGGAAGAAAGCAAGCAACGUGGAAAACAUAUUUCAGGAUAUUGUUCAUGAAAUUUCCCCAACCUCACUAGAAUGGCCAACAUUCAAACUGAGGAAAUGCUCUGGGAGAUACUACCCAAGAAGACCAUACCUGAGGCACAUAGGCAUAAGCUUCUCCAAGGUUGAAAUGAAAGAAAAAAUGUAAAAGCACCCAUAGAGAUGGGGCUGCUUGUGCAGGGCACAAGCCAUAAGCCUUGGUGGCUAACAGGUGUUGUUAAGCCUGCGGGUGUGGAGGGUGCAAGAGUGAAGGAGGCAUGGCAGCCUCCACCUAGAUUUCAGAGGAUGUAUGAGAAAACCUGAGUAACCAGGCAGAAGCCUGCUGCAGGGAUGGAGCCCUCACAGAGAACCUCUACUAAGCCAGUAUGGAGGGGAAAUGUGGGGUUGGAGGCCCCACAGAGUCCCCACUGGGGUACUGCUCAGUGGAGCUGUGGGAAGGGGGCCACUGUCCUCCAGACCCCAAAAUGGUUGAUCCUCCAGCAGCUUCCACCCUGUGCCUGGAAAAGCCUAAACUCCAACCCUUUACCCUGCAAAGUCACAAGGGCAGAGCUUCCCAUGGCUUUAGGAGCCCACCCCUUAUACCAAUGUGCUCUUGUGAGGCACAAUGUUAAGACAUGGAGUCAAAGAAGGUUAUUUGGGAUAUUUAAAACUAAAAGACUGUGCUGCUGUAUUUCAGACUUGGAUAGGGCCUGCAGCCUUUCUUUUGGCUAAUUUCUCUUUUUUGGAAUGGUAAUACUUAUCCAAUAUCUGCACCCCCGUUGUAUCUUGGGAGUAAAUACUUUGAAUUUUAGAAGCUUAUAGGUGGAAGAGACCUGCCUUGUCUCAGAAGGGCUUUGUACUUUUGAAUGAUGCUGGUAUUAAGAUUUUUUGGGAGAAUAUUGGCAGAGGAUGAUUGUAUUUUGAAAUGUGAGAACAUAAGAUUUCAGGUUCCGGGGCAGAAUGAUACAGUUUGCAUGUGGUCUCCUCUAAAACUCAUGUUAAAUUAUAAUCCCCAGUGUUGGAGGUAGGACAUGGUGGGAGAUAACUGGAUCAUUGGGGCAGAUUUCUCAUGAAUGUUAGUGCCAUCCACUUGGUGCUGUCCUUGUGAUAGUGAGUUCAUAACAAUAUCUGGAUGCUUAAGUGUAGCAUCUUCCCCCUCAUUCUCAUCUGCUCUUGCUAUGUGAGAUGCCAGGUCCCCCACUGGCUUCUGCCAUCAUUGUAAGUUACCUGAGGCCUCACCAGAAGCUGAGCAGAUGCCUUGCACCAUGCUUCUUAUACAACUUGCAGAAUUGUGAACCAAUUAAACCUUUUUACUUUAUAAAUUACUCAGUCGCAGGUAUUUCUUUACAGCAAAUUAGACAAUAGGUUAACACAGAAAUAGUUGAAUUCACUAUUACAGUUGGAGACUUCAACACUCCUCUAUCAGAAAUGAGGAGAUCCAUCAAGCAGAAAAUCAGGGAGUCAACGGAGAAAACUGAUGAAACCAGAAGCUGGUUUUUGAAAGAUGAAAUCAGUAAACCUCUGACAAGCCAGACUAAGAGAGACAAAAAUUAGUAUCAGAGAUGAAAGAGGGGAUAUCACUGCAGAUCCCAUGAACAUUUACAAGGGUAAUAAAGGAAUAUCACAAACAAUUGUAUGCCUACAAAUUUGAUAACCUACAUGACAAAGUCCUUGAAACACACAACCUGCCAAAACUCACACCAGAAGAAAUAGAUACUCCAAAUACACCUGUAUCUAUUUUAAAAAUUGAAUCUAUUGCCUUCACAAACAAAAUGCUAGACUGAGAUGGGUUCACUGGUGAAUUCUAAAAAUGAUACUAAUUCUGUAGAAACUCUUUCAGAAGGUAGAAGCAGAGGGAAUGCUUCCUAAUUCAUUCUAUGAGGCCUAAAACCAAAACCAGACAAAAAUAUCACAAGAAAACUACAAAAUAGUAUCUUUAAUUAACAUAGAUGUAAAAAUCCUCAAUAAAGUAUUAGCAAAUCCAAUUCAACAAUGUGUAAGAAUUACACACCAGGAUCAAGAAGGAUUCAUCCCAGAUAUGCAAGGCUGGUUCAAAUAUUGAAAAUGAACUAAUAGAAUCUAUCACACAAAGAAACUCAAGAAAAAUCAUAUGAUCACAUCAAUAGAUCCAGAAAAAAUAUGACAAAAUCCAAAACCCAUUCAUGAUAAAAAUUUUCCAUCAACUAGGCUGGGCGCAGUGGCUCACACCUGUAUUCCUAGCACUUUGGGAGGCUGAAGCAAGCAGAUCACUUGAGGUCAGGAGUUCAAGACCAGCCUGGCCAACAUGGUGAAACCAUGUCUCUAAUAAAAAUACAAAAAAUUAGCUGGGUGUGGUGGUGGGCACCUAUAAUCCCAGCUACUUGGGGGGCUGUGGCAGAAUUGCUUGAACCCAGGAGGUGGAGGUUGCAGUGAGCCGACAUCGUGCCACUGCACUCCAGCCUGGGUGACAGAGAGGCUCCAUCUCUAAAAAAAAAAAAAAAAAAAAAA
ensembl:lncRNA